AAUGUACAACUGAAAUUUCCUAAUGUUAUAAACUAUUAUGACCUCAAUAAAAAAAAAAAAAAAAACAGGUGGUAGGCUAGAUUUGGCCCGUACAACCUCUGCUCUAAAAGAGCAAAAAAGCAUAAUAUUUUUUUUUUUUUUAAAAAAAGGAACUUUAGAUUUUAAAAAAUCCCUUCAGACAAAUAUAAUUAUCAAACAAAAUGAAAAACUUCCAGAAAAGACUUUCAGACCCUGUGCUUUUCUCCUUCCUCACUACUGACAGACAACCUUCUUCGUGGAAGGGGCACAUAAGUGUACCUUGCUCAGAAAUAAAAAUCUCAAAUUUAUUAAUUAUUAACUCACUUGCAAGACAGGGGCAAAAAGUCAAACCAUGUGACCAGUCAAAAGGGCAUCAGGCCCAAAGGAGGGAUUUCUCCAACGGCCCCUGUGAACACUGACACUGCACAUUCACUUACACUGCAUUCUCUUCCAGUUCCUUCUGCUACGCCCCAGUCCCUGCCUUACAGAGGCACAAUCAACCUACAGAAAGGAACCCCUGGAACACCCACAGGGCUGUGUGUAGAGGAAAGGGGAAGGAGUCUGGAGUUCGAUGAGCUGAGCUCCGAUGUUUGUUCCACAUUCCAAUGCCACCAGAUAUGCAAUUUGGGGGAAGACACAAGUUCUCGCAGCCCCACUUUCCCCAUCUGUGUAAAACUCUCCCCUCUCACAGAGCUCUCAUGUUAAUUCAUGAGGCCAUGUAUGUAAAAGCACCUCAUAAAUGUCAGUUAUCCUAUCCUAAAUGAAGAAUGCAGAGACAAACGGUUAAUGCUAAGACCACGUUGAUGCCACCGACUUCUCGCUUGAGUAAGAGAAAGGUUGGGAGCUCUGAUGACCAAAGACCAUCUUAUCAGAAAUGUCAUCCACAAUGGAUUGGAUACUGGGGGAAAAGAGAUCCUCACCACACGCUGUUUGGGAAGCACUCUCCUAUUGGGCUGCAGGUCCCCAGUACACAGGCAAACCCAGGGGGAGGAAGAAGGAAGGAAGGAGGGCUGACAUGCUGCCCGAAGCACAGAGUCAAGUGCCAUGGUGUGUCCCUCUGCAGCAUUCCGAAGGAAAUCUGCCUCAAGAGCACAGGAGGGAGGCUUAAGGCCUCUUUGCCAGGCCUCGCCCAAUCUUACAGAUGCCUGGAUUCACCCUCAGCUCAAAGGAAAUACCAUGUCCUUCCUUAUUCUCAGGAACCUCCACUUCAAAAUUUCUUUGUAUUUCUGAAAGAACCUACCUACAGGAUCCAUCCUUAGGGCCAAGAUUCCCAGCAUACACAAGAAUUACCUGGUCAGUUUCUCAGUCUGGCUGAGGCUAAGCCAUACUCCUGUCUCAAAUUCUGUGACUUCCUUGAUGGAAAUUAUUUGCAGAGCCUAAUACUGUUACUAACACUUUAAUAAGGCAGCAAAAUAGACCAUUCACAGUAAAAGAUAUAUGAAUGGCUUUUAAACAUAGGAAAACGAUCUUCAACCUUACCCGUAAAUAAGAGGAAUAUAAAAUAAAAUUACUAUAAGAUACCAUUUUUCAAGUAUCAGAUUAACAAAGAUUCAACAGUUCUAUAAUACACUGUGUUGGUGAGGAUGUUGGGAAAUUAGCACUCCAUAUACUAGUGGAGAGAGUGCACACCGGAACUCUCUAAGAAUGAGUCCCUAAAACCUCAGGCCUCUCGGCUGAUGAGGAGAUCCUGGGAGGGGGAUGGUCACUUGCCUCUGUUAAUCUCAGGGGCCUUCCUCUCUUUAGACAGUCUCACAAAAUGCUGGAUAUAAGGGUCAUGCCAGUGGCCAAUGCUUACUGCAAACCUGAAAGGGAUGAAAAAGGAGGCAGGAGUAGAGAGCAGGUUCAGGCCAGGUUCCCAGGAGCCAGGUCAAGGAUCUAGAGGAAAAUUAUCUGCCUCAAAAGGCCAACCAGGGGCUGGUGUGGUGGCACAGUGGUUAAGUUCAUGUGCUCCAGUUCGGCGGCCCAGGGUUUGCAGGUUCUGAUCCCGGGCACUGA